rnacentral:rRNA from 1 species
GCAAAGGUAGCAUAGUCAUUAGUUCUUUAAUUGUGAUCUGGUAUGAAUGGCUUGACGAGGCAUGGGCUGUCUUAAUUUUGAAUUGUUUAUUGAAUUUGGUCUUUGAGUUAAAAUUCUUAGAUGUUUUUAUGGGACGAGAAGACCCUAUAGAGUUUAACAUUUGCUAUGGUCCCCUUUCUGUUUGUGAGGGUUCACUGGGCCAUUUAAUAUGUUUUGUUGGGGUGAUGGGAGGGAUUAAUUUAACCCCUCCUUUUUAUUAUUAUAUUUAUUUAUAUUUACUUGAUCCAUUUAUUUUGAUUGUAAGAUUAAAUUACCUUAGGGAUAACAGCGUUAUCUUCCUUGAGAGUUCUUAUCGGCAGGGGGGUUUGCG